rnacentral:rRNA from 1 species
GAUGAACGCUGGCGGCGUGCUUAACACAUGCAAGUCGAACGGAAAGGCCCUGAUUUUGUGGGGUGCUCGAGUGGCGAAGGGGUGAGUAACACGUGUGUAACCUGCCCUUGACUUUGGGAUAACUUCAGGAAACUGGGGCUAAUACAGGAUAGGAGCUCCUGCACCAGGGAGGGGGUGGGAAAGUUUCGGCGGUUGGGGAUGGACUCGCGGCUUAUGAGCUUGUUGGUGGGGUAGUGGAUUACCAAGCCUGUGACGGGUAGCCGGCCUGAGAGGGUGACCGGCGACAUUGGGCCUACGAGACGCCCCAGACGCCUACGGUGGGCAGCAGUGGGAAGUAUUGCACAAUGGGCGCGAGCCUGAUGCGGAGACGCCGCGUGCGGGAUGCCGGCCUUCGGGUUGUAAACCGCUUUCGCCUGUGACGAAGCGUGAGUGACGGUAAUGAGUAAAGAAGCACCGGCUAACUACGUG